AGAACGAACGCUGGCGGCAUGCCUAACACAUGCAAGUCGAACGAGACCUUCGGGUCUAGUGGCGCACGGGUGCGUAACGCGUGGGAAUCUGCCCUUGGGUCCGGAAUAACAGCGAGAAAUUGCUGCUAAUACCGGAUGAUGACGUAAGUCCAAAGAUUUAUCGCCCAAGGAUGAGCCCGCGUAGGAUUAGCUUGUUGGUGAGGUAAGAGCUCACCAAGGCGACGAUCCUUAGCUGGUCUGAGAGGACGACCAGCCACACUGGAACUGAGACACGGUCCAGACUCCUACGGGAGGCAGCAGUGGGGAAUUUGGACAAUGGGCGCAAGCCUGAUCCAGCAAUGCCGCGUGAGUGAAGAAGGCCUUCGGGUUGUAAAGCUCUUUGUC
rnacentral:rRNA from 1 species